UACGGAGGGUGCGAGCGUUAAUCGGAAUCACUGGGCGUAAAGCGCACGUAGGCGGCGCAUCAAGUCAUACUUUAAAUCCCUCUUCUCCACCUAGGAAUUGCGUUUGAAACUGGUGUGCUGGAGUCUCGGAGAGGUUGGCGGAAUUCCAGGUGUAGGAGUGAAAUCCGUAGAUAUCUGGAGGAACACCGGUGGCGAAGGCGGCCAACUGGACGAGUACUGACGCUGAGGUG
rnacentral:rRNA from 1 species